UUUGUCAGGAGUUGGGAGAUGGGGAUGGGGGGAGGGAGCAGGACGGCACCUCUCAGCAUUGCUGCUCCUUCAAAGCUGCCUUUGUCGGCGUGCCAUUGCUUGACUAUUAUUGCUACCAAAAAGGAAAAUAAAAUCAGUAUUAUAAUUAAAGCCACUCAGCCAUUUCAAAUCAACACGUUAUUGUAGUAAUGAGAAAACUGAGUUUUUAGUGGUACAAACAGACAUUUCAGUUGCAAUAACUUUUUUUUAAUGUGUGUUUGGGUGUGGUUUUGGGUUUUUUUAAUGGGGUUUUUUGUGUUUUUUUUUCCCUUUUUUUUUUUUUUUUUUCCUUUUAAUGACAUUGCCAUUUAUUGCAAAGCUAUGAUGAGUUCUUAUCUCAUUGUGGUGCCCUGUGGUAACUCAUUAUUCACUGAACUUCACUUUUGAUGUAUGAUGAACAGCAACAUAUACUUCAAUAGUUCUAUUUAAACUGGCCCCACAGUUGAAACAAACCAUUCCAAGAACAGCACUGCAUUACACACAGAAGGGCUCAAAAGUUUAGGAUAUGAUAUUCUACAGUACUCAUAGAGCUCAGUAUCUUCAAGCAGAAGUUACUCAAGCUGAUGGAUCUCUCAUUAAGUCAAAGUUCCUCCAAAUGAGAAGAGGAUGACUGAUAGUCAGAGAUUACCAGCACCAUCACAGUGAGAGAUCACACUCUUUGUGGCCACAGCCCCAAAGCCUGACAGGGCUCAUCCCCCACAGCCCAGCACGCUCAGAAGGCUGCAAAGCAACCUCAGCAUCCCUGUCCCAGAGCCCAAAAUUCCCCCUCAUUCUUCACCAGGUCUGUCUGGUGCUGAUGGGUAACAGAGCAUUGACUGCUCCUUCUAGGCCACAGCUGCAACACAAGCUUUCAGAUUUUGUGUAAGAUGGAAAAACAAGAGAAUGCACAACAACAAAACUCCCCAGAGGCAGAAAACAACACAUGUACUAACACAGCUCCAGGCCUCUCCCCCACCCCUCCAGCUACUCUCCAGAGGGUAAAGUGAGAUGUCAGGACAUUUCCAGUAAUCAGCAGUGCUGCUUGGAUCAGGUUCUAGGCUCUGCCUAACAUUGAAGGGAUUGCCUUGAGAAUUCAAAAUGGCUAAA
rnacentral:lncRNA from 1 species